AGCUAAGUCAACUGCUUUUCUUCAAAUUCAGAUUUAAUCCUUGAGUGAAAUGAGUCACUGGCUCAUCCAGUUAAGAUCAUCACCCACUUUCCUAACAAAACUUCUCUUCAAAGAAGGACUCGCUCAUCCAUCAGGUGGACCUCCACAGGAACAAAUCAUAUCCAUGUCAGGCGGCACCAAACCUAAAUCUGCUUCUGCCUCAGCAGACAGGACAUGUUGAGUUUGGCCAGUGAGUGCUGCAGGAUACUGGAGGGAGGGCAACAGAGAGGAAGGUCACCUACAUGUCUAUGUUCAGAAGCUGCCUUGAUGCCACAUGCGGGAGGCUGGAAACGCUGAAGGAUGACCACUGCUCAGCAGCAGUCUACCAGUGAUGGAUGAGAGUUGGUGCACAAAUACCCCAGCUCCCUUGCCUCUCAGUUUGGAUAAUCCUGAAAAGGUGUGUACUAUGCUAUUUCUGAGAUUAAGCCCUAGUUACCCAUAGUGGUAGCUAAAUAUAGUAGUUGGCUGUAUUCUCCAUCACUUCUUGAAUCCCCUGCCAGUGUUCUCUGCACCUCCUUAAUAAACCACUUGAAACAAAAAUCAA
rnacentral:lncRNA from 1 species